rnacentral:rRNA from 1 species
UACAGAGGUCCCAAGCGUUGUUCGGAUUCAUUGGGCGUAAAGGGUGCGUAGGCGGCGCGGUAAGUCGGGUGUGAAAUCUCGGGGGCUUAACUCCGAAACUGCAUUCGAUACUGCCGUGCUUGAGGACUGGAGAGGAGACUGAAUUUACGGUGUAGCGGUGAAAUGCGUAGAUAUCGUAAGGAAGACCAGUGGCGAAGGCGGGUCUCGUGGACAGUUCUGACGCUGAGGCACGAAGGCCAGGGGAGCAAACGGG